rnacentral:rRNA from 1 species
AUUGAACGCUGGCGGCAGGCCUAACACAUGCAAGUCGAACGAGUGGCGGACGGGUGAGUAAUGUCUGGGAAACUGCCUGAUGGAGGGGGAUAACUACUGGAAACGGUAGCUAAUACCGCAUACCAUCAGAUGUGCCCAGAUGGGUUUAGCUUGUUGGUGGGGUAACGGCUCACCAAGGCGACGAUCCCUAGCUGGUCUGAGAGGAUGACCAGACACACUGGAACGGAAACACGGUCCGGUCUCCUACGGGAGGCAGCAGUGGGGAAAAGUGCACAAUGGGCGCGGGCCUGAUGCAGCCCUGCCGCGUGUAUGAAGAAGGCCUUGGGGUUGUAAAGUACUUUCAGCGGGGAGGCGUUACCCGAAGAAGAAGCACCGGCUAACUCCGUGCCAGCAGCCGCGGUAAUUC